rnacentral:rRNA from 1 species
UACGUAGGGGGCAAGCGUUGUCCGGAUUUAUUGGGCGUAAAGAGCUCGUAGGCGGUUCGUCACGUCGGGAGUGAAAACUCGGGGCUUAACCCCGAGCCUGCUUCCGAUACGGGCAGACUAGAGGUAGGCAGGGGAGAGCGGAACUCCUGGUGUAGCGGUGGAAUGCGCAGAUAUCAGGAGGAACACCGAUGGCGAAGGCAGGUCUCUGGGCCACUACUGACGCUGAGAAGCGAAAGCGUGGGGAGCGAACAGG